rnacentral:rRNA from 1 species
UUCGGUCCAAAGAUUUAUCGCCCAGGGAUGAGCCCGCGUCGGAUUAGCUAGUUGGUGAGGUAAAGGCUCACCAAGGCGACGAUCCGUAGCUGGUCUGAGAGGAUGAUCAGCCACACUGGGACUGAGACACGGCCCAGACUCCUACGGGAGGCAGCAGUGGGGAAUAUUGGACAAUGGGCGAAAGCCUGAUCCAGCAAUGCCGCGUGAGUGAUGAAGGCCUUAGGGUCGUAAAGCUCUUUUACCCGGGAUGAUAAUGACAGUACCGGGAGAAUAAGCCCCGGCUAACUCCGUGCCAGCAGCCGCGGUAAUACGGAGGGGGCUAGCGUUGUUCGGAAUUACUGGGCGUAAAGCGCGCGUAGGCGGCUUUGUAAGUUAGAGGUGAAAGCCCGGAGCUCAACUCCGGAACUGCCUUUAAGACUGCAUCGCUA